rnacentral:rRNA from 1 species
GAGACAGCAGCAGCCGCGGGAAUACAGAGGGUGCGAGCGUUAAUCGGAUUUACUGGGCGUAAAGCGUGCGUAGGCGGCUUUUUAAGUCGGAUGUGAAAUCCCUGAGCUUAACUUAGGAAUUGCAUUCGAUACUGGGAAGCUAGAGUAUGGGAGAGGAUGGUAGAAUUCCAGGUGUAGCGGUGAAAUGCGUAGAGAUCUGGAGGAAUACCGAUGGCGAAGGCAGCCAUCUGGCCUAAUACUGACGCUGAGGUACGAAAGCAUGGGGAGCAAACAGGAUUAGAUACCCGCGUAGUCCCUGUCUCUUAUAC